CUCUAGGCCUUUAAUUUCAGAAAUUCUGGCAAUUUGAACUCUUUUAUGUAGUAAGAAUACACCAAUAAAAAGUUUGUAUGUAUUUAACUUGCUGGAAAAGAUAUUUUGAAAAUUUUACUUUGCCAUGGUAUUUUGUUCCCCCUGCAGUAUAUUGAACCCCCUUCUCUAGGCCUUUAAUUUCAGAAAUUCUGGCAAUUUUAACUCUUUUAUGAAGUAAGAAUACAACAAUAAGUAGUUUGUUUU
rnacentral:lncRNA from 1 species